rnacentral:SRP_RNA from 1 species
GGCGGCGGUGCCGGUCCCCUCGCGACGAUAAACCGUGAAUUCCGUCAGGCCCGGAAGGGAGCAGCGGCAGCGGUGGACUCGGGCGCCGGGGUGUGGCUGGUAUCCGCCGCCUCCAUCU